UACGUAGGGUGCGAGCGUUAAUCGGAAUUACUGGGCGUAAAGCGUGCGCAGGCGGUUUUGUAAGUCAUAUGUGAAAUCCCCGGGCUCAACCUGGGAAUGGCAUUUGGGACUGCAAGGCUGGAGUACGGCAGAGGAGACUGGAAUUCCUGGUGUAGCAGUGAAAUGCGUAGAUAUCAGGAGGAAUACCGAUGGCGAAGGCAGGUCUCUGGGCUGAUACUGACGCUCAUGCACGAAAGCGUGGGGAGCAAACAGG
rnacentral:rRNA from 1 species